AACUGCAUUUAAAACUGGCAAACUAGAGUAUAGGAGAGGAAAGUGGAAUUUCAGGUGUAGCGGUGAAAUGCGUAGAUAUCUGAAGGAACAUCAAUGGCGAAGGCAGCUUUCUGGACUAAUACUGACACUGAGGUACGAAAGCGUGGGUAGCAAACAGGAUUAGAUACCCUGGAAGUCCACGCCGUAAACGAUGAUAACUAGCCGUUGGGAGGAUUUACCUCUUAGUGGCGAAGCUAACGCGUUAAGUUAUCCGCCUGGGGAGUACGGCCGCAAGGUUAAAACUCAAAGGAAUUGACGGGGACCCGCACAAGCGGUGGAGCAUGUGGUUUAAUUCGAUGCAACGCGAAGAACCUUACCUGGUCUUGACAUACAGAGAACUUUCUAGAGAUAGAUUGGUGCCUUCGGGAACUCUGAUACAGGUGCUGCAUGGCUGUCGUCAGCUCGUGUCGUGAGAUGUUGGGUUAAGUCCCGUAACGAGCGCAACCCUUAUCCUUAUCUGCCAGCACAUCAUGGUGGGAACUAUAGGGAGACUGCCGGUGAUAAACCGGAGGAAGGCGGGGACGACGUCAAGUCAUCAUGGCCCUUACGACCAGGGCUACACACGUGCUACAAUGGGAAGGACAAAGGGUUGCUAAGCCGCGAGGUGGUGCUAAUCUCAUAAACCUUCUCGUAGUCCGGAUCGGAGUCUGCAACUCGACUCCGUG
rnacentral:rRNA from 1 species